UACGUAGGGUGCAAGCGUUGUCCGGAAUUAUUGGGCGUAAAGAGCUUGUAGGCGGUUUGUCGCGUCUGCUGUGAAAUUUCGGGGCUCAACCCCGAACUUGCAGUGGGUACGGGCAGACUAGAGUGUGGUAGGGGAGACUGGAAUUCCUGGUGUAGCGGUGAAAUGCGCAGAUAUCAGGAGGAACACCGAUGGCGAAGGCAGGUCUCUGGGCUGAAACUGACGCUCAUGCACGAAAGCGUGGGGAGCAAACAGG
rnacentral:rRNA from 1 species